rnacentral:rRNA from 1 species
CGGACUAGCCAAUGAAAUUGAUCCUUCAGUACAAAAGCUGAAAUUAACCCAUAAGACGAGAAGACCCUGUGGAGCUUCAAAACCAAAACCACUAAACAUGCCUCCUGGUUUUUUAGUUGGGGCGACUUUGGAGCAAAAAAAACCCUCCAAAACAUAAAUCUAUUUAUUAAGAACAACACACCAAAAAUAAUAUUAUAGACCCAGCAGUAUUAAUUUACUGUCUGAUCAAUGAACCAAGUUACCCCAGGGAUAACAGCGCUAUCCUCUUCUAGAGUCCUUAUCGACAAGGGGGUUUACGACCUCGAUGUUGGAUCAGGACAC